AGGUACACAUAUGCACCUUUUUGAGGGUCAAAAAGGUACAUAUUUGUUCCCAAGCAUUAAAAGGUACAUAUUUGUACCAUUUCUUUUAAAGGAUAAGGUACAAUGUUAAGAGACAGCCUCUUGCCAUUUUUUUUUUAUUUGUUGUUCUAGACAACUGCUGUAAAUCUGGUGAGUAACGUAAAUAACUAUUGUGUCAAUUUUUGUUUCCUUUAGUUGGACACAUGGGUAUUGAAGUAGUAUUAGUUUUCUUCAGUUCAUUGACAGUGUGUUUAAUUUUAAAUUUAAAUUUUAAAUUUUAAUUAAAAAAAAAGUUAAUUUCACUUAAUAAAAACUGUGAUAUGAACUCAAAAACUGCAAUUGAUUAACCAUUAUUUAAACUGAAUAAAUACUGAAUAACUGAAUCCCUCACACACACAGAAAAAAACCCGCGCUUUUAUUUUGACACGCGCCCAUCCCCCCACAUCUCACGGUCGGAGUCAGUUUCACAGAGCAGCGCAGGAGGACGACAGACACUUAAAGAACAUUAACAGUUUAGUUUGAAUCUCUCUCAGUCAGUCAGGGGGAGAUUAACUGACAGACUGUAUAACGUUACACGUCUUACCAAGAAACCAUUAAAAGUUUAGCACAAAUGUGUCUCGUGGAAGUUUGAAUCUCUCUCAGUCAGGGGGGAGAUUGACUGACAGACUGUCUACUUGCCACCAGACAGUAAUUUACCCUGAAACCUUUUUAAGUAAGGACUAACGUAAACUGACUCUCUGUCUGCUCUCAACCAAACAGUCAUUUAAGACCUUCUAAAGCUUAGCGCAAACGUUUCCUGCGCAAGUUUGAAUCUCUCAGUCAGGGGGGAGAUUGACUGACUGACUGACUGUCUACUCGCCACCAAACGUCAAAAGUCAGUUACACAGAAUCCUUUUAAAGUUUAGCACAAACGUUUCCCGCGCAAGUUUGGAUCUUUACCAUUGAGGGUGGCUGACUGUUCUCGACCAACCAUCAUUCACAGCAAAAACUUUAAAGAUAAGUAUGAACGUGCCCAGAGCAGUUUUCGAUCUUUACCAUUAAGGAGGCUGACUGACUAUCGUCUACCACCCGUCAUUAACACAACAAAAACUAAAGAAAUGUUACUCCAUAUGGACCUAUUCAUUUACUCAUUAUGCUGUGAGUACACCACAGUUUUACCAGGGAAAAAAUUUAUAUUUGUGUGUUUCUCACUGCUUGGCAAGGACAGAUGUGGCCCUGUUAAAAAUGUUUAAAUGUCGUUUGGUUUAAGGAACAGCACACUGAUUUUGUUUUAAAAUAUUCCUGUUUGGACAGUCUGUUAAAGCCAUAAAGGAAUACUUGAUAUAUUUCAUAAGUAAAGUGUAAAUGUAAUAUUAGUUUUUAAUGUUGUGAAUUUGGACUGAACAGCACACUUCUGUUUUAUAUCUAAACCUUUUGUAAAAUAAAUGAUUGUUCAAUAAACUGUGUAUUUUA